GGGUUGGGGGCGGAGUCUCCGCCAAGCCACGGCUGGAGCCCGAGCACGUGGCGGGCCUGCUGGCCGCCGUCUUCGAUGCCCAGGAUUGUCACUUCGAUGUGGACACCGCAUGCACGCAACUUAAUGCCUUUAUAGCAGAGGAAGGAGGUCGUGGUGAGGAGGGACCUUAUACGCGUGCCGCGUGCGGGUUCCUUAGGGGCGUGGCGGUGCACGUACUGCCGCGCCGCCCCGCACACUCCGCAGCACUGCUGCGUACACUACACGCCGCUAAACCACGUGCAUUGCCUGAGAUAGCUCGAUCGUUGCUGUCAGCGGGCAAGUGUGUGUCUGGUGUGGUGGGCGAGCUGUUGCAGGCAGCUGCAGGGGCGGCGCCUGACCACCGCGUCCCUCAUCUCCCUCACAACGCAACUAAGGAACAUCUAG